CGGAGGAACAUGUGGUUUAAUUCGAUGAUACGCGAGGAACCUUACCCGGGCUUAAAUUGCAACUGACGGAACCGGAAACGGUUCUUUCUUCGGACAGUUGUGAAGGUGCUGCAUGGUUGUCGUCAGCUCGUGCCGUGAGGUGUCGGCUUAAGUGCCAUAACGAGCGCAACCCUUACGGGUAGUUACCAUCAGGUUAUGCUGGGGACUCUACCCGGACUGCCGUCGUAAGAUGUGAGGAAGGUGGGGAUGACGUCAAAUCAGCACGGCCCUUACGUCCGGGGCUACACACGUGUUACAAUGGGGGGUACAGAAGGCAGCUACACGGCGACGUGGUGCUAAUCCCAAAAGCCUCUCUCAGUUCGGAUUGGAGUCUGCAACCCGACUCCAUGAAGCUGGAUUCGCUAGUAAUCGCGCAUCGGCCACGGCGCGGUGAAUACGUUCCCGGGCCUUGUACACACCGCCCGUCAAGCCAUGAAAGCCGGGGGUACCUGAAGUACGUAACCGCGAGGAGCGUCCUAGGGUAAAACUGGUGAUUGGGGCUAAGUCGUAACAAGGUAAGCGUAGCGAG
rnacentral:rRNA from 1 species